UACGUAGGGUGCAAGCGUUGUCCGGAAUUAUUGGGCGUAAAGAGCUCGUAGGCGGUUGUCGCGUCUGCUGUGAAAACCGUCGGGCUACCCGGCCCGUGCAGUGGUACGGGCAGACUAGAGUGCGGUAGGGGAGACUGGAAUUCCUGGUGUAGCGGUGAAAUGCGCAGAUAUCAGGAGGAACACCGGUGGCGAAGGCGGGUCUCUGGGCUGUAACUGACGCUGAGGAGCGAAAGCGUGGGGAGCGAACAGG
rnacentral:rRNA from 1 species